rnacentral:rRNA from 1 species
AGAGUUUGAUCCUGGCUCAGGAUGAACGCUGACAGAAUGCUUAACACAUGCAAGUCUUUGGCGAAGCUGUGCUUGCACAGCCUAGCCAAGGCGGACGGGUGAGUAACGCGUAAGGAACUUGCCCUGCAGUCAGGGAUAACAGACGGAAACGACUGAUAAGACCUGGUAAAGUCAGGCGGACUCAUGUCCAGCCUGAUGAAAAGAGAUGCUGCAGGAGAGCCUUGCGUCCUAUUAGCUUGUUGGUGGGGUAACGGCCCACCAAGGCGAUGAUAGGUAGCCGGCCUGAGAGGGUGGACGGCCACAAGGGGACUGAGAUACGGCCCUUACUCCUACGGGAGGCAGCAGUGGGGAAUAUUGGACAAUGGGGGCAACCCUGAUCCAGCAAUUCUGUGUGCACGAAGACGGUUUUCGGAUUGUAAAGUGCUUUCAGCAGGGAAGAAGAAAGUGACGGUACCUGCAGAAGAAGCGACGGCUAAAUACGUGCCAGCAGCCGCGGUAAUACGUAUGUCGCAAGCGUUAUCCGGAAUUAUUGGGCAUAAAGGGCAUCUAGGCGGCCAGAUAAGUCUGGGGUGAAAACUUGCGGCUCAACCGCAAGCCUGCCCUGGAAACUAUGUGGCUAGAGUACUGGAGAGGUGGACGGAACUGCACGAGUAGAGGUGAAAUUCGUAGAUAUGUGCAGGAAUGCCGAUGAUGAAGAUAGUUCACUGGACGGUAACUGACGCUGAAGUGCGAAAGCUAGGGGAGCAAACAGGAUUAGAUACCCUGGUAGUCCUAGCUGUAAACGAUGAUUACUGGGUGUGGGCAUGAAGAGUGUCCGUGCCGAAGCUAAUGCGAUAAGUAAUCCGCCUGGGGAGUACGGCCGCAAGGCUGAAACUCAAAGGAAUUGACGGGGACCCGCACAAGCGGUGGAGCAUGU